GACGUAGGGCGCGAGCGUUGUCCGGAUUUAUUGGGCGUAAAGAGCUCGUAGGCGGCUUGUCGCGUCGACUGUGAAAACCCGCGGCUCAACCGCGGGCCUGCAGUCGAUACGGGCAGGCUAGAGUUCGGUAGGGGAGACUGGAAUUCCUGGUGUAGCGGUGAAAUGCGCAGAUAUCAGGAGGAACACCGAUGGCGAAGGCAGGUCUCUGGGCCGAUACUGACGCUGAUGCACGAAAGUGUGGGGAUCAAACAGG
rnacentral:rRNA from 1 species